UGGGGAAUAUUGGACAAUGGGGGCAACCCUGAUCCAGCAAUGCCGCGUGUGUGAAGAAGGUCUUCGGAUUGUAAAGCACUUUCGACGGGGACGAUGAUGACGGUACCCGUAGAAGAAGCCCCGGCUAACUUCGUGCCAGCAGCCGCGGUAAUACGAAGGGGGCUAGCGUUGCUCGGAAUGACUGGGCGUAAAGGGCGUGUAGGCGGUUUACACAGUCAGAUGUGAAAUCCCCGGGCUUAACCUGGGAGCUGCAUUUGAUCACGUGUAGACUAGAGUGUGAGAGAGGGUUGUGGAAUUCCCAGUGUAGAGGUGAAAUUCGUAGAUAUUGGGAAGA
rnacentral:rRNA from 1 species